ACACACACAGACAUACUGACACACAAAGAUACAUGCACUGACAGAUAUACUGACACACACACAGACAUAUGCUAACAGAAAUUCUGAAACACACACAGACACAUACACUGACAGACAUAUUGACACACACACACAUACGACAUACACUGGCAGACAUACUGACACACACAUGCACUCACUCACUGACACACACUUACUUUCAGACACACACACACACUUACA